UACGGAGGAUGCAAGCGUUAUCCGGAUUUAUUGGGUUUAAAGGGUGCGCAGGUUGUUUGAUAAGUCAGUGGUGAAAGUCUGUCGCUUAACGGUAGGAUUGCCAUUGAUACUGUUAGACUUGAAUAUGGAUGAGGUAGGCGGAAUGUGUAGUGUAGCGGUGAAAUGCAUAGAUAUUACACAGAACACCGAUUGCGAAGGCAGCUUACUAAGCCAUAACUGACGCUCAGGCACGAAGGCGUGGGGAUCAAACAGGAUUA
rnacentral:rRNA from 1 species